rnacentral:tRNA from 1 species
GGAGUAAUGUCUGAGUGGCCGAAAGAGCUCGAUUGCUAAUCGAGUGUAUAACAAACUUAUACCGAGGGUUCGAAUCCCUCUUACUCCG